rnacentral:rRNA from 1 species
CAGUCGCCGCGGUAAAACGUAGGGUGCAAGCGCUAAUCGGAAUUACUGGGCGUAAAGCGUGCGCAGGCGGUUAUAUAAGACAGAUGUGAAAUCCCCGGGCUCAACCUGGGAACUGCAUUUGUGACUGUAUAGCUAGAGUACGGCAGAGGGGGAUGGAAUUCCGCGUGUAGCAGUGAAAUGCGUAGAUAUGCGGAGGAACACCGAUGGCGAAGGCAAUCCCCUGGGCCUGUACUGACGCUCAUGCACGAAAGCGUGGGGAGCAAACAGGAUUAGAUACCCCGGUAGUUCCUGUCUCUUAUAC